GAUCAAGCGUCUAAGGGCAUCUGGUGGAUGCCUUGGCACCAAGAAGCGAUGAAGGACGUGGCACGCUGCGUAAAGCCGCGGGGAGGGGCGAGCACCCUUUGAUCCGCGGAUGUCCGAAUGGGGAAACCCGGCCCUUUGGGUCAUCCCAUGCUGAAUCCAUAGGCAUGGGAAGCAAACCCGGCGAACUGAAACAUCUCAGUAGCUGGAGGAAAGGAAAUCAACCGAGACUCCGCUAGUAGUGGCGAGCGAACGCGGACCAGGCCAGUGGCCUAAUUGAGCGAACCGGAACCGUCUGGAAAGUCGGGCCGUAGCGGGUGAUAGCCCCGUACGGGUAAGAGCUCUUUUAGGUCCUCGAGUAGGGCGGGACACGUGCAAUCCUGUCUGAACAUGGGGGGACCACCCUCCAAGCCUAAGUAUUCCUUGGUGACCGAUAGUGUACCAGUACCGUGAGGGAAAGGUGAAAAGCACCCCGAUGAGGGGAGUGAAAGAGACCUGAAACCGGAUGCCUACAAGCAGUGGGAGCACCUAUAAGGUGUGACCGCGUACCUUUUGUAUAAUGGGUCAGCGAGUUAGUCUGUGCAGCAAGCUUAAGCCGUUAGGUGUAGGCGUAGCGAAAGCGAGUCUGAAUAGGGCGCCUGAGUUGCACGGAUUAGACCCGAAACCGAGUGAUCUAGCCAUGGGCAGGCUGAAGGUGCGGUAACACGCUCUGGAGGGCCGAACCCACGUCUGUUGAAAAAGACGGGGAUGACCUGUGGUUAGGGGUGAAAGGCCAAUCAAACUCGGAAAUAGCUGGUUCUCCGCGAAAGCUAUUUAGGUAGCGCGUCGUAGCGAUUACCGCCGGGGGUAGAGCACUGGAUGGGCUAGGGGGGCGCGAGCCUUACCAAACCUAACCAAACUCCGAAUACCGGUGAGUACAGCACGGCAGACAGACGGCGGGUGCUAACGUCCGUCGUCAAGAGGGAAACAACCCAGACCACCAUCUAAGGUCCCCAAGUCGUGGCUAAGUGGGAAAGGAUGUGGGAAGGCCAAGACAGCCAGGAGGUUGGCUUAGAAGCAGCCAUCCUUUAAAGAAAGCGUAAUAGCUCACUGGUCUAGAUAAGCCGUCCUGCGCCGAAAAUGUAACGGGGCUAAAGCCAUGCACCGAAGAUGUGGGAUAUCCUUUGGAUAUCGGUAGCGGAGCGUUCCGUAGGCCUGCGAAGGGAGAGGGGUGACCCCUCCUGGAGGUAUCGGAAGUGAGAAUGCUGACAUGAGUAGCGACAAAGAGUGUGAGAAACACUCUCGCCGAAAGCCCAAGGGUUCCUGCGCAAGGUUAAUCCGCGCAGGGUGAGCCGGCUCCUAAGACGAGGGCGACAGCCGUAGUCGAUGGGAAUGGGGUUAAUAUUCCCCAGCCUGCCAGAGGUGACGAAGGCCGAUAGUUGUAUCUCCUUAUCGGAUUGGGGGUGCAGCGUAGGACUUCCAGGAAAUAGCCCUGGCAUAUAGACCGUACCCGAAACCGACACAGGUGGGCAGGUAGAGUAUACCAAGGCGCUUGAGAGAAUGAUGUUGAAGGAACUCGGCAAAUUACCCUCGUAACUUCGGGAUAAGAGGGACCUCCCAUUGGGCAACCAGUAGGUGGUGGCACAGACCAGGGGGUGGCGACUGUUUACUAAAAACACAGGGCUCUGCGAAGCCGCAAGGCGACGUAUAGGGUCUGACGCCUGCCCGGUGCCGGAAGGUUAAAAGGAGGGGUGCAAGCUCCGAAUUGAAGCCCCGGUAAACGGCGGCCGUAACUAUAACGGUCCUAAGGUAGCGAGAUUCCUUGUCGGGUAAGUUCCGACCUGCACGAAUGGCGUAACGACUUCCCCGCUGUCUCCAACAUCAACUCAGCGAAAUUGAACUCUCCGUGAAGAUGCGGAGUUCCCGCGGUCAGACGGAAAGACCCCGUGCACCUUUACUACAGCUUUGCAGUGGUAUCAGGAGUUGGAUGUGUAGGAUAGGCGGGAGCCUUUGAAGCGCAGGCGCUAGCUUGCGUGGAGGCACCCUUGAAAUACCGCCCUUCUGUCUUCUGAUAUCUAACCGCGGCCCGUUAUCCGGGUCCGGGACCCUGCAUGGCGGGUAGUUUGACUGGGGCGGUCGCCUCCCAAAGAGUAACGGAGGCGCGCGAUGGUGGGCUCAGGCUGGUCGGACAUCAGCUGUCGAGUGCAAUGGCAUAAGCCCGCCUGACUGUGAGGCAGACAUGCCGAACAGAGACGAAAGUCGGUCAUAGUGAUCCGGUGGUCCCGCGUGGAUGGGCCAUCGCUCAACGGAUAAAAGGUACGCCGGGGAUAACAGGCUGAUAACCCCCAAGAGUCCAUAUCGACGGGGUUGUUUGGCACCUCGAUGUCGGCUCAUCACAUCCUGGGGCUGGAGCAGGUCCCAAGGGUUCGGCUGUUCGCCGAUUAAAGUGGUACGUGAGCUGGGUUUAGAACGUCGUGAGACAGUUCGGUCCCUAUCUGCCGUGGGUGUUCGAGACUUGAGAGGAUCUGUCCCUAGUACGAGAGGACCGGGAUGGACGUACCUCUGGUGUACCUGUUGUCGCGCCAGCGGCACCGCAGGGUAGCUAUGUACGGACGGGAUAACCGCUGAAAGCAUCUAAGCGGGAAACCCCCCUCAAAACCAGGUCUCGCUUGAGAGCCGUGAUAGACCAUCACGUCGAUAGGCCAGGGGUGUAAGCGUGGUAACACGUUCAGCUGACUGGUACUAAUCGCUCGAUCGGCUUGAUCAG
rfam:Oceanibaculum indicum P24 contig52, whole genome shotgun sequence.